GACGAACGCUGGCGGCGUGCUUAACACAUGCAAGUCGAACGGAAAGGCCCCUUUGGGGGUACUCGAGUGGCGAACGGGUGAGUAACACGUGAGUAACCUGCCCUUGACUUCGGGAUAACUUCAGGAAACUGGGGCUAAUACCGGAUAGGAAUCCUUGCUGCAUGGUGGGGGGUGGAAAGCUUCGGCGGUUUUGGAUGGACUCGCGGCCUAUCAGCUUGUUGGUGGGGUAGUGGCUUACCAAGGCUGUGACGGGUAGCCGGCCUGGGUGGGCGACCGGCCACAUCGACACUGGGACUCGGCCCCGACCCCUACGGGUGGCAGCAGUGGCGGAUGUUGCACAAUGGGCGGGAGCCUGAUCCAGCACCGCCGCGGGCGGGAUGACGGUCUUCGGGUUGUAAUCCGCUUUCAGCAGGGGCGAAGCUUGUGGUGACGGUACCUGCAGAAGAAGCACCGGCUAACUACGUG
rnacentral:rRNA from 1 species